rnacentral:misc_RNA from 1 species
AACCAUAGAAACCUGCGGAGUACCUGCGGAGGGAUCAUUACAGAGUUGCAAAACUCCCUAAACCAUUGUGAACGUUACCUAAACCGUUGCUUCGGCGGGCGGCCCGGGUCCCUCCCGGCGCCCCUCGGCCCUCGCGGGCGCCCGCCGGAGGUAAACCAAACUAUUGCAUUGUAUGGCCUCUCUGAGUCUUCUGUACUGAAUAAGUCAAAACUUUUAACAACGGAUCUCAGAUCGGAAGAG